GCAAUUAGCUAGCUGACUACUUGAUUAAAAGGAGGGAAGUUUACUUCCUGACCUCACAACGACCCGUGUGCGUUACGCAUUAUCCAAUAAAAAUUUGGAGUUGUCCCGGAGGACAGCUGUGAUUGGCUCCAGCCACCCGCAACCAUGAACAUGAGCGGUAGGAAAUGAAUGGAUUGAAAUACAUGAGAAUGUUUUAUAUUUUUAACGUUAUUAUUUUUUUUUUAAUUAAAGAUUUGUCUGCGAGCCAGAUGCAGCCAUCAAAAGAGCCACAUCUGGCUCGCGAGCCAUAGGUUCCCGACCCCUGCUCUAAACAGUAAAACGAAAUCCGAAAGUCGGGUUAUGGCGGAGUGUAGUUUUUUUGACUGCACUAAUAGUUCGUAAACACCACACAGGAAGUAGGAAAAGAACUACAUUUCCCAUCUGCCCUGGCUGUCACAGGCUAAUAGCACCAGCUGCUUUCCAUUGCCCUAAUGAGUGAUUCUACUGCGGCAACGAGACCAAAUACAACGAAAGUAUUGAUGCUGCAAAAGAAGACGGAUCUUUUGCUAGGCUGGUUAAUGAUGACCACAAGCACCCAAAUGGCAGAAUGCAGAAGACUGAAGUGGAUGGAAGCCCACAUCUUGGUCUGUUUGCUUUAACAGACUUUAAAGAAGGUGAUGAAAUUACCUACAAUUACAGAGGAGGAGACUGGCCUUGGUGUAGCAAGAUUUUCCAAAUGUCUAUUAAAUAUGCAGAUUAUGGAGGGGGACACUGCUGAGAGCAAUGGCCAGGAGAAACAGCAGCCAUCACCGUCUACACCUUUUCUGGAUCAUAAAUAUUAGAAUUGUGUAGUUUGCUGGCACUUUUAAUCCUGCCUUUCAAUCACACCUCUCCAUAAAGCUUCAGUGUGCUACCCAUUUACAUGUUUAGGCUGCCUGGAAUCAAAAUUAGCUACCUCAACAUACAUUAUUAAGUUGUUACUGUCACUUUUUAGCUUAGUCAGUUAAGUGGAUAUAGAAUUGUGUUUAUGACAUUUGGUUGUGUGUCUGUGUUUGGCUAGUAUCUUUAUUUUUCUCAAUAUGUUUAACUUUGAGCUGGCUAUAUGUAGUAAGCAGAAGUGUUAUGUCAAACUUAAAUGAGUCCAAGUUCAUUCAUGGCACAUGUGAGCUUAGUGGUUGUGUACUUUAAUGGGCAAAUAUUUGUUGUCUUUUACAGUAAAGAAGCUCAAGACUCAAGUUGUCUUUAUAAUGUUGAAUAGACAGGGUUUUUUCAUCUGACUGACAAUUUUUCACUUGAUUAGAGAUCCAGACCAAUAAACAAAUCCUUCAUGCAGCUAAAAUAUCAAAAGGAUGAGUUUCUUUGUCAUUUUGACUUGCCAAAAUGACUGGGGAUAGUGUUAAUUUGUGAUGCAUGCCUGUGAUAAAUAAGUGAGG